rnacentral:misc_RNA from 1 species
AAAAACACCUAGCCUAGCUAACCAGAGCCAUCCCAGCACCUAAGUCGAAGGCCCUCCGAUAACACUAGCUGGGGUGGGUAAUCCACCUGAAACCAAGAACCCGGCAAAACACAGUAGCAGCACCGUCAACUAACCUUCACCGAGGAGAGAUGAAAACGUUUUGACGAACAAACCCAAGGCCGUGCACAUCAGCAAUACCGGAUAUGUGCUUGGUUAUCAAAAAUAAAUCUCAACACUUUUGUCUAUUAAAGUCUGAUUGAGAAUCAGAUGUCAAAUUCUAAUUGGAGCUAUGAGCUCGUUGAUCAUUUGUUGAUCUUGAUUUCAAGAUUGGGAGUAGUUAUGUAACUAUCUGAAGUGUGCCAAUAAAUAUUAAAGGGGGCUGACUUAAGCAUGAUGAGAGCAGAAAUUCACAAAUUUGACUCUCAUUACGUUGAUAAUCUCAUUGGUUGUUUCCCCUAAUCAAGCUCGUACAAUAUACCAGG